rnacentral:lncRNA from 1 species
AAUGGGGAAGGAAAAAAAAAAUAUUAGAAAUAACCACAUAAAAACAAAGUGAAGGGACUUUGGUUUCUGGCAAGCUUGAAACCUAAAAAGUGUGGAAAAUUUUCCAGUACAAAGCAGUUAGAAAAGCUGGAUAUAAGAUAUAAACUUCCUUUUAAAUGUAUUACUGACCUUGUUAGAGAGUAAGAGGCCCCUCGGGAUGAAAAUAAAGAGAAAACUUAAAUCCAGAGCAGUAAGCUGAUACUGAUAUUGCAGCUGCCCUGGGGCAUUUGUCAGUCUCACUAACCAAGAGGCUUGAGUUUUCACAGCUGGAUCACUGCUGGAGACAGGACCUUGGGCCUUGCCAAGAGGGGAUUUAGGAUUCAAACUACCGUAUUAAACCUAGAACUUUGGGUGGGUUGCAUUUUCAGUAAAAGGGUGAAAUAGAAAAUAUCCCCUCAUCAGCAAAGGGAGAUGACAAGAAAAUUUGUCCUGGCGGAACAAACAGUUCUUCUCCAGAGGGAUGUGCUUGAUGUAGGCCUUAGUUCUUCCCAUGGAUAAAAUUUCCUCGUACAUGAGUUCACAGCCCCAUGUGAUAAGUAAUCAUGAGCUGGAGUUAAGCUGAAAUAAUAACUUGAAUUAGUUCCCAAUUACUUUAGUAAUAGAAUUACUAAUGAUAGAGAAUAUGAAAUGGGUUUGUUUCAAACAUUUUAAAAAUAAAAUUUGUAUCAAAGUCAUUAUAAAAGAAUAAGGCUUUUUUUUCUUUCUGAAAAACACUAGGCAGUCUUGAAAAAGAACCAAAUAGAUCUCUUAGAAUGGAAUUUUCAUCUUUGUAUUAAGAAUGUAAUUUAAGGAGUUCCCAUCGUGGCUAAGUGGAAAUGAAUCUGACUAGGAUCCAUGAGGAUGCAGGUUCGAUCCCUGGCCUUGCUCAGUGGGUUAAGGAUCCAAUGUUGCCAUGAGCUGUGGUGUAGAUUGCAGAUGCAGCUCGGAUCUGGCGUUGCUGUGGCUCUGGUGUAGGACAGCAGGUACAGCUCCGAUUUGACCCCUAGCCUGGGAUCUUUCCUAUGCCACAGGUGUGGCCCUAAAAAGACAAAAAUAAAUAAAUAAAUUAGGGCUUAGCUAUUAGAUUAGAUGUACUCAAACAAGAACUAAACUGUUUAAAAAUCUGAAGAAAUUACUUAAGAUGCAGUGUAUAAAGACAAAAGAUUAAGAAAAAUAGGAAAGAAACUUAAAAUAUGUAGGAUGCUGUGGCCCUUUGACAAAGGACCACGGAUUUGUUGAUGCUACUCCUAUCUUGAAGUGGAGUCUCCAGCUUUGAAAAUGGGCAGGUCUGUGACUGUUUGAACCAAGAGUGUGGCAUAAAUCAUAUUAUGUCAUCUCAGAGGUUAAGUUAGAAAAGGCUGUAUGUCUUCCACCUUGUUUGCUGAAAUAAUUAUUCUUGGAACCCUGAGCUGACAGGAAAGAAAUCCAGCUACCCUGUGGCUCUGAUGUCUUGAGGAAUCCUUAACCGUAUGGAGAGCCCAGUCCCAGCUCUCUGGGUCCCUCUUCGCUGUUUGAGUUUUCCCAGUGGAGGUGCCAGCCAUCCUGAAGCAAACACAGACCACCUCUGCUCUGCCCUGUGAAUGGCUCAACCCCAGAAUGCUUGUUGUUACUAAGUUUUGGAGUGGUUUCUCACACGUCAGUAGGUAAGUGCAACAGACAAGAUGAGAAGUUCUGACAUCCCCCGAAAGACGUUUCCAAAGAAGAUAAUAGAAAGACUGGGAAAGAGGCCACAUCUAAGGAAAUAGAAGUUGAGAAAUUUCCGGAAGUGAUAAACAUGUAUCUUUGGAUCCCAGAAGUGUAAUGAAUUGUAGGCAGGCAAGGUAGACGAAACUCAUGCCUUAAUGCAGCAGAAUUAAACUGGAGAGCACUAAAGUCCAGGAUAUUAAAAGCAGACAGAAAGGGUAGAUUACUUGCAAGUGGAGUACAACUACGUUAGUUGGCUUAGCAAAAAACUAGACACAUCUCAGUCAUUCAUUGGUGGUGGAAGGAUUGAUAAAUUCCUCAAUAUGUUACAGCAAUAAAAAGCUUCCUAUAGUACCCAGCAGGUGAAAAGUCAUUGAAUGGCAGCUUCGUAUAUCAAGGUGACUCAAUCUCCCAAAUAUAACAUGUGGUAAAGAAUAUGGUGUGAUGGCAUUUAUAUAAAGUCUAAAAAUAGGAGCAACUGCACAUAUGGAUAUGUGCCUGUGCUCUUUAGCAAUCCGUACAUGUGCAAAAUAUAAAGACUUACUUUGAAUGACAGACGUUGAAGUCUGUUGUUCUGGGAGUGGGAGUGAAGACGGAAGAGGAAUGUAGUCAUGCCCAGCACUUAAUUCUGUGACAUUUGCUUUCUCCAGCGGGGUAGCAACCACAUGAGUAUUUAUUAUGCUUUACCCUCAUUUGUUUGCUUGAAUACUUUACAAUAAAAAUUUGACCAACAACGUGAAGAUUUAACGACGAGUAGUCAUAGGACGCAGUGUGACAUCUCCUUUAAGGAAGUACAUACUUAGUCUGAAAGGAUUUGCAGGAUAGAGGUGAAGUAAAUCCUGUCUACGUUUUGGUUUCAGUGGAUAUUUGAACUCAUAGGAAAAAGAUCAAAGCAGAUGUGGCAUAAAAUCCGUUCUACUUGAUUGAGAGAUUUUGAGCCUUGGUGGAUGUAGGGGAGGGGAGAAGGAAGUGAAAUCAGAGAAUAGAGAACAGUAUGGCUGAGGACUUGCAAUUGUUAGAAAUGAGACAUGUCGGCUGAUAAUGAGCAAGGUGCAAUUGGAACUUUUACAUCAUUAGAGGUGCCAUUGAAACACCUUUAUGUUCAUAAAUUCUCCUGGUCUUCUGAAUAUCUUUAGUAAUAAAUAAUCUGCUACAUUUUGUUGAAGAUGACUGUGUUUCAUUUCUCUCACACCUGGCAGUCACUGCGAUUUGUCAGCAAUAAAUGCAGUCUUGUGAGUGAGUGUUAUCAGGAGAGAAAGGGGAUGUGUAUGGGGCUGGGAAGGAGAGCCUGGGAAGAGAUAGGUGGGAAGUGAACAAGUUACUGAUUAUAAAAUCGCUAAGAAUACUGGAUGUGAGGCUACCCUACCAUCUUUAUUCUCUCUCCAAUGGUAAUCUGGUCAAAUGGAUAAGAGCAGGUUACGGAGGUGAAAGCUUAGAGAUUUACCUCAGUUUUAAUAGCCUUUGGCAAAACUUGAGCUCAGUCUUCUAAUUGGAUCUUUUGGAGGGAGUUCCUGUUGCUGCUCAGUGGAAAUGAGCCCAACUAGUAUCCAUGAGGACGCAGGUUCGAUCCCUGGCCUUGCUCAGUGAGUCUGGUGUUGCCCUGAGCUGUGGUGUAGGUCGCAGACGUGGCUCUGAUCCUGUGUUGAUGUGGCUGUGUCGUAGGCCAGCAGCUGCAGCUCUGAUUCGACCCCCAGUCUGGGAACUUCCAUAUGCUGCACCUGCAGCUCUAAAAAGAAAGGAAGAAAAAAAAAAAAGGGCAGGGGAAACAGGAAUGACAGUAAACGUUGCAAAGCUGAGUAAGAAAGAGACAGCAGAACAUGAGUGAUGGCUGGCCCACCGAUGCUGUCUCCUAGUAGAUGAUUCAACUAACUUUCAUGAUUGCUUUUUCCUCCUGGUAGUUUUAUUUCCUCACAAUUUAGGUUCUUUUAAAAAUUCAGCUUACACAUCCUGCUACAUAGCACUGGGAACUAUAUCUAGUCACUCAUGAUGGAGCAGGAUAAUGUGAGCAAAAGGAAUGUUUCCAUGUAUGUGUGACUGGGUCAUCUUGCUGUACAGCAGGAAAUUGGCAGAACACUGUAAACCACCUAUAAUGGAAAAAAAUAAAAAUCAUAAAAUUAAAAAAUUCAACUUACAUAUCAUAACGUUUCCACUGUUUCUCUACAUCAUAAUCCUUUCGUUGUCCCCCCCACCACCAACUACCUUAUUUCAAUGUCAGCUUACUGACUGUAAGAAUGUGCUCUUGGCUUUGAAUUAGCUGCCAUUGGAUAAGAUGUUUCCCCUUUGUCCAGUUAGCUCUAGCUUGGUAGGAUGGACUCACACAGUGAAACAAGGUCUCUAGACUGACCCCAUCAACAAGCACCUUAGGUGGAUCAGAUAACACUCAGUGACUGUGGCAGAGAAUAAAUUGAUGUAAUUUGUACGUCUAGUCAUGUACGGGCCCAGACUGUGAUUUCCAUAUAAUCAUCUAGGACAAACUGAGACUUGAAUGGGCUCCUAUGUUUUUGAUAAGUCUCUAGGCAAAGAAUAUUUAUGCUUUGUAAUAUUACUAAGUUUAGCAAUUGGAUUUCUCUACUGUCCUUAUAUACCCUCUACGUUGAGUUUUAAGUUUCUGUAUUGGCGUUUGCCCCUCUCUCUGUUGGCUCCUUAGCUCCUUCCCUCCUCACCCCUCAGGACCUAUUAGUGUAAGUACUAACUUUUCUCUAAACUGGAUAAAUUUUUCAGUCUGACCUUAAAAUGUAUUCAAGAAGUUGCUCAUUAUCUUAGCUUAACUAGCUAUUAAUCAGUUGCCAUGAAAUGUGCCUGAAAGAAAAGAGCCUGUUGGGUAAGGGUAUUUAUUCACAUGAAUAUUUCAAUUAAAUCUUAAAAUACUUGCGUAUGCAUCUAGCAAAUGGUGUGCACAGACAUAUGUAAAUUCCUUUAAGCAGCCUUAAAGAAUAUCUGUAUUUGCCUUAAAUCGCUCUUUAAAUAGCUGGUCCAGAGUAGAACUAUUUAGCAUCACUUUACAUGCCACUGAACUCAGAGUCAGAAUCAUGACUUAGACACCCUGUAAUGCAAAUGGCAAUGCCUGGAGUUCAUUGCAUAAUUUUGUAGGGAUCUUCACCAAAACCGGGGAAAAGGUAGUAUUUUUUAUAGCAUGAUUAACUCUGAAAAAGAUAGCCUUUUUGUGAAGCCAGCUAAAGAUGGAAUUCUGUUUGUAGGCACACAGUGUAUAGAAUGGGCAUUAUAUAGUCUGUACAUUUCCACAUGUGUUUUUCCUGUGAUCGGUGUCCAUGGGUAAUUAAACAGAAGUCUUCCGCAAAAAUGGAAAUAUGUAUUGAAAAAGUGGCAGCAAUAAAACCAUAUCUUGCAGCUUUUCACUUUGAGUCCCAGUGGAUUAGUGAUUUCACUUUACACUGGAAAUGGCAGUAGAGUGGUGAUUAUUGCUCUUUUGGGACUGAUAAGAAAAGACAUGGUGCCCAAUUUUAUUAGUCAUUAGUAUUCUCUGUUAUAGAGGGUAUGGGAAGCUCUGGAACUAAAAGAACAUGCUCUGAACUUAUUUUUUUAAACAAGUAAAUGGUCUUUCAGUAUCAGUAAAAAUAUAGUUUGUCUGCUUUAGAAAAAUAAAAGCUUUCCAUGUAAUUUAGCUUGUCUGUCAUUUUAAACAUCUCAGAAGACCUAUCCCUAUGGUCCAGACCCAUUUCUCUUUGUCAGGAGAUGCUUCAUUGGUUUCUGUGUGAAAGUUUUGACAUUUUUAUUACACUCUGAAUACUCGAGAAACCAAAGGAUGCCAAUGGUGUCUCUCCUCCAUGCCUCGAGCAUCUGCAGUCUUCUGUCUAUGCCCCGAACUUGUGCAGAGGUCCUCUUUCCAUAUGUAUAUUCUGUUAUAUUGCUAUUGAUCCAAAUCAUUUCUUCUGUAUGCAACCCAGUACCUCUCAUCUCCAGAUUCAUUGCUAUGGGUCAAAUAGUUUGGAAAAGAAAUCCAGUCUCGAAAACUAUGUUUCAGUCUCUAAGUAAAAGAGCCAGUACCUCCAGUAACCUCUUGAUAAAGAGUGGCCGUGACCAUGCUGAAAUACUUUCUCUGAUCCAUUGAAGCUGCCUUCUUUAGUGUUCAGCAGUUCCUCUCGCAUCUCUAUUCUAGCACUUAGAAAUGACAGAAAACUGGGCAGUCUCGUGGUCUAGUCUUAAUAUACCAGUUUAACCAUGACAGCUAUGAAUUAAUAAAGAUCUUGACUACCAGUUUUCUUGACGAGAAGAAAAAUCACUUUUCAAAAUUCAUCUUGCAGAGUUCCCAUCGUGGCUCAGCAGUAAGAACCCAACUAGUAUCCAUGGGGACACGGGUUCAAUCCCUGGCCUCUAUCAGUGCGUUAAGGAUCUGGUGUUGCCAUGAGUCAUGGAAUAGGUCACUGAUGCCACUCGGAUCUCACAUGGCUGCAGCUGUGGCUGUGGCAUAGACCAGCAGCUGUAGCUCCGAUUCCACCCCUAGCCUGAAAUCUUCCAUAUGCCUCGGGUGCAGCCCUAGAAGGACACCCCCCCCAAAAAAAAAAAAUCAUCUUGCAGCAAAACUUUGUACAGACCCUCUUCAGGUAGCUUUUCUAAACCCCACACCUAUGAGCCACAACAGCUGCUAAACAUGUGUCCAGAGGCCCCAUCUCGCUGUUUUUUCCUUGUUACACUCUUCCUCCCCUCGCUGCUGAUGCUGACUCUGCUUCCUGGGACACGGGCCUUUCUCUGCUGGAGGCCUUUUCUUGAAGCACUUCUGCUAAAUCAAGUAACUCGGUCUCUGAACAAAUACAUUUGUUUAUAGUCUUUCCUUUUAUACUGACUUGUCAAGACACAAGUAUGUAAGCCGAACUUAACAAUAUAUGAGAAAUAGGAAGCUAAAGAAAAUCGUGGCUCGGAAGUUCAGACAGAACCAGACUUGGUGUUGGUCCAUGUCUCAGGUGGACUGAGGUGGGUGUUUUGAGCUUUCCAGUGGUCGGUGUAGACCUGCACAUGUAUCUCUCAUGUGAAUCCUUGUGUCACAUGCAACACGUGCUAUAACAUAGCUGUGCUCUAACCACACCGGCCUCCUUUCAGUUUCUCAAACAUGCCAAGCCCUUCCCCACCACAGGAAGGUUUCCAGCUUCACUGUCACCUGCCCAGGGACCCUUUGCUUGACUUGUUUAUCGUCUGUCUCUCCCCAUUACGUUCCGAAGCUACUUGAAGACCUGGGACCACGUGACCCUCAAAAGUUGAGCCUCCUCCCAACUAACCUAUCGGCUUAGAGAAGACUUACUGUCAUUUUGCAGUGGCUGGGACACAACCAAGACACUAGCAGCUUAAGUAAGUCUGGGUUGGUAAUUGCUGUUACUGACAGCAACUUUUCUGGGCUUCAUCAUCAGUGAUGCCAUUAAGUUGUCUCAGCGUUUUAAAAGUUGACCAUGCGGUUCUCGAGGCAUCUGUAUUACACUUAUCUCAACAGUUAUGUUGCGUGUGUAUCAAAUCCUAUCAUGGUAAAAAAUAAAAGCCAAAGGACCAUCCAGAUUGGUUUAUUACCCUGAAGUGUGGCUGUAUGAGGGAUUGCUUGAAAUGCUAUUGUCCUAAAGGAAAAUUAACACAGAAAUAUGGGUCACAUAUUCUCCACAUUUGUAUUGUUUCUCAGGAAGCUGAAGAACAGAAUGUGCCAUUAAUCAAGGAGCAUUUAAAGCAUGACAUUCUAGAUGUAAAAUAAAUGGAUAUUCCCUCUUAAAUUUUGGUCUCUCUUCUAUAUAAUCUUUCAGGUUUUGUUGUUGUUGUUGUUGACUUUGAAGUAACAUAAUCUGUGGGUUUCUUGAAAAUAGCUGCUUUAGAGCAGUGCAUUAAUCCCACUCUCCUUCUCGCUGUGUUUCUGUUGUUACAUUUAUCACAAUUUUAUUUUCAUUUAUCAGUUUACAUGUCAACCUCCCUUAUUAAACUCUGAAGGCAAAAAUUCUCAUAUGUCAACGUCCUAUGCCUGGGACAUUAUUAGUUUAGUUUUCAGAGAUUCUUUUUAAAUGAUACCACAAAUGGCUCCAUCAGUCAUUUGCAGUGUAUUUCUUUAACAGACAUUAUUGGGAACCAACUUUGUGCUAGGACUGUUAUCUGCUGGAAGGAAAUUUGUUAUAAACAUAAGCCUGCAGUUGAGAAUUACCUCAACUCCAAUGAGAAUUACUUAUGGGGAGUUCCCACUGUGGCACAGUGGGUUAAAAAUCCAACUGCAGCAGCUUGGAUUGCUGAGGAGGUACAGGCUUGGCAUAGCUUGCAGCAGUGGCUCAGAGUCAGUCCGUGGCCUGGGCACCUUCCGUAUGCUGCAGGUGUG